UACGGAGGGUGCGAGCGUUAAUCGGAAUUACUGGGCGUAAAGCGCACGCAGGCGGUUUGUUAAGCUAGAUGUGAAAGCCCCGGGCUCAACCUGGGAUGGUCAUUUAGAANUGGCAGACUAGAGUCUUGGAGAGGGGAGUGGAAUUCCAGGUGUAGCGGUGAAAUGCGUAGAUAUCUGGAGGAACAUCAGUGGCGAAGGCGACUCCCUGGCCAAAGACUGACGCUCAUGUGCGAAAGUGUGGGUAGCGAACAGG
rnacentral:rRNA from 1 species